rnacentral:lncRNA from 1 species
CCCAUAGAUGUCUGAUCUAUGGUGGUGAAAACUGAAUGAAGGAGGGAUGCCCUAGACAAACUAAUGGUAGGGGGAUGUCCUAAACAAGAUGAUAAUAGGGGGAUGCCCUAGACAAGAUGACAGUAGGGGGAUGCCCUAGGUGAUAACUCAUAAAGAUCGACAAAUGCGUCUGACAAUCAUGAAAUUAGCACGAGACAUGGCAAACCCAAAGAGAGGGGAAUGCCCCAAGUCAAGCGCUAAAAGGGUAUGCCCCAGUAUGACGACUCGCAAAGAUCAAGAAAUAGAUCGAGUAGUGAGAAAAACCGCAAAAGAUCCGACGAACUCAAGGAUGGGGGUAUGCCCCAAUGUAAGAUAGUAGUCAACAUGGGACACAGAAUGUCACCGAACAAGAUACUCUGGGAUAUGCUCAUGAUGAUGCAAUGAAAAUGAUAUACAUAGCCUCAAUGAACCAAUGCUAAAACAAGACCAAACAUCACCAAAACUAUACUGACAAAGCAAAACUAAAAUAAUGGAUCAAACAAACGCUGACCAAAACUCUAGGUCUGAAAUGUAAGCAAGUCAAGACACAACAUGUCAACUAUCAAUAUGAGUACAUCAUCACAACUGUAUCAACAAUAUAACAGGCCCUACCAUCACAGAAGAUGUUGAACCUAAUGUCCAAAGGCAUGUGAAAACUCAACCAGAAAACCCGAGACUGGUCUACAUCCUCCUCUGAUCACCAAAGAAAGGGACAAGGUCAUGUAAGACGAUGAAAUAUGUGGGCUCAAAAGAUGUAAAGCACUGAUAAGAUGGGUGCAGGUAUAACAGAGUCCAAUGUAGGAUGGAUAGGUGUGUAACAAAGGAAAGUGGGUACCCAAAUCAAACUAGGUAUGCU